rnacentral:rRNA from 1 species
UACGUAGGGGGGCUAGCGUUGUCCGGAUUUAUUGGGCGUAAAGAGCGUGUAGGCGGCUUGGCAAGUCCGCUGUGAAAACUCGAGGCUCAACCUCGAGACGUCGGUGGAAACUGCCUCGCUAGAGUCCGGAAGAGGAGAGUGGAAUUCCUGGUGUAGCGGUGAAAUGCGCAGAUAUCAGGAGAACACCCGUGGCGAAGGCGGCUCUCUGGGACGGUACUGACGCUGAGACGCGAAAGCGUGGGGAGCGAACAGG